rnacentral:rRNA from 1 species
UACGUAGGUGGCGAGCGUUAUCCGGAUUUAUUGGGCGUAAAGGGUGCGUAGGCGGCCUGUUAAGUUUAAGGUGAAAGCGUGGGGCUUAACCCCAUCGAGCCUUAGAUACUGGCAGGCUAGAGUACUGGAGAGGAAAGUGGAAUUCCAUGUGUAGCGGUAAAAUGCGUAGAUAUAUGGAGGAACACCGGUGGCGAAGGCGGCUUUCUAGGCAGUAACUGACGCUGAGGCUCGAAGGCGUGGGGAGCAGACA